CUCCGCAGGAAUGUGUUUUAUUUUUCCGGCAGCCUAUUUGGUUGAGGUGGGACCACAGCGGAAACAUAACGAAAACUCCCCACACACCAGCAAGAAAGAGGAAACAAACAACACGCUUUUUUCGCACUGAAAGGUGCACAAGGAAGUGUGCACAAGGAAGUGAGAGGUGUGUAGCUGGACAUGGCUGGAUCAUCUGCUUGGCUCCGUGUCGCCUGCAUCGUCGCUGGUUGGGCUGCUGUCAUGAGCAAUAUCCCCGGAAAAACUGAGCAAGUCAAAGCAAAACAACACCAAAAUAUCCUCCUUCAUUGUCUGACAAUCUGCAAAGGCCAAGUUAGCAAUAUUGUUUGGUUUGUGUUUACAGGUACAUGGGAACACAUUAACGAUUAUAGUGACAAAGAAAAGCAUGUCAAUAAAUACAUUCAACAUGAUAACCACUCCCUUACCAUUGAAAAUCCUGACUGGAUGGGCUCUAGAUUGCACAGAUGUCAAUGGUCAUGUAAAUCUGAAAAUUGUUUUGUUGAUAUACAUAUUCUCAUCAUCAAAGGUAAGAAAGUAACACGCAAACACAUUCAUUUUGAACAAAGCACAUACUAUACCAAAAAUAACACGAAUACAUGUUUCUAUUAAUGCAUUAUUAUGCAAGUUUAAUGAAAGAGGUUGUGAUCAUUACAACCCACGUUUUUCCAAAUUGAUGGUCGUUAUCUCAGAGGGUUCUAGUCGGUGAAAGUGGGACUAUGAAUUGGACUCAAAUUAACUCAAGUUCAGGGGAUCUUUUCAUUUAGCCCAUGAGCCACAGAAGAAAUUGGUACCACCGAAGAUAGCAACUAUUUAGUCAUACCAAUUGAUUUAUUUAGUGUAAAUACGAGUGGAAUACUUGAUAUUUGAUCAUCCACAAGUCGAAAUGGUUAUCACAAGAUGUACUGUUGUUGGCCAGAAAUAUGAACCACCAGAAUGAUGCCACCUCAGGUCGUACUGGCAGGUGGGAUAUCUGGUCUGGGCUUAUGGACUACCUGUCAUUUCAUUUACACUCAUUCCUAAUUGGGCCAUCUUCACAUCCACUCCACAGUCCUUCAUAUCCUGCUUCACCAAUUCAAAUCACCUCUUUCUCGUGCUGAAGCUACACAAUAUUUGAGCGAUAACUAGAAUGUGGAAUUUCCACGAGUGGCUAAGUGUUAUGCAUAGUUAUGGUGCUUUGGAGAAUGGUAAGGCCACUUAACAUUUCCUGGUCUCAAAAAGGCUGUUUUGAAGUCCAAAAGAUUGCAACAUUUUUUAUUUUGUCCUAUUGUUAAAUUUCCUGGCCUCACAGUUCGCAUGGUUGGCUACAUACGGUGCUCAAGAAGUUCAACAUACAUUCAUAUGCAAAUAAUGGGGCUGUGAAGUGGGCAUGGUUGGCACAAUAGUAGGUUGGACCUAUUCGCAUUAAGUUGGGCCAACACCAUCAAGGGUUAGCCCCACUCACUGGUUGGGUGGAACGAGUGAUUGGGCAUGGCUGAGAGGCAGGUGGUUUCAGCUUAUCAUGUGUACUGGCUGAGGUAGCAAUAAAUGUGAUUAUUGUUGGUAAAAUGUGCUUAUUUUUUGUCUGCAGGUGUGAAGAUUAACAAAAAUAUAAAAGCUAGAAUUGGGGAACAUGUCUUGAUUCCCUGCCAAACCAAUUCUGCAAGACAAAUCAAUGGCAGUGUUAACUGGCAUAUUGCUCUACAAGGACAACCAUACUACCCUCUCUCAAUUGACAGUAUGACAACAAAAUAUGUAAAAUAUAUAACUUCUUCAUUGUUAAUUAUUGAUGUCAAUGGUAAAGAUGCAGGCGUUUACCUGUGUGAGCUGACCACUCCUGGGGAAUUCUAUGAAACUAAGCUCGGCGUAAUCAAAGGUAAACCUUCCACCAAAAGAAAAAAUGGACUGAUCUCACCGAAACCAACAUCAACCGAAGAACCAUCGCAUGAAAACCUUCCAGCGGUUUACAUUGGGGUGACAACAUUAUGCACAGUAAUCAUUUGUUGGGCUGUCCACUAUUCUUGGAAGAAAAUGAAGAUCAAGAGGAGCAACACGUCAGACUCGGCCUCGAACAAUGUAAACAAUGUCUCCAAUUCGGGACAAAUUCAACCAGAUACUUACUGCGCCAUCAGUCCAUCCGAAACUCUACCUGAACCUGAAUAUGCAGACUACACGUUCACAGGUAAUACUCUCUACAAUGCUAGAAACAUUCUACAAUACUAGCGAGCCUCUCUUAAGCUUUGUUAAAUCUAUAUUACCAUACUAGCAAGGGCCUUUCCAUUAUUGGUCAGGCUUACUACAUCAGUAAUAAGGAUUUUUACAUUACUAAUCAGGCUGACUACAUUAUUAAUACAAUAUUGUUAGUAAGAUGGCAAUGCAUGAUGCCUAGUAAGGCAUACUACAUGACAAGUAAGGGUCUCCAGAUUACUAGUCAAACUUUGCAGUACAAUUCACCACUUGUUAUAUUACAAGUAGGUUUACAACAUAAAACUAGGACUCAUUACAUUACUAGUAAUGUUUACUACCUUAUAUUUAACGCUCUCCAAAUUAAUAAUAAUAUUUUACUGGUAACACUUAUCACAUUAUUAGUACGCUUCUUUAUAUCACUAGUCAAGCUUACUUCGUUACUCGUAAACCUCCUUUACAUUAUCAUUAAGGCGUAUUACAUAACUAGUCAGGCUCUCCACAUUGCCAUUAAGACUACACCAGCAACACUUUCCAGAAUACUCGCAAGCAUAUUUACAUGACUAGUCAGGUUCAUCACAUUACUAGCAAGCAUCUACAUUACUUGUAAGACUCUCCACAUGCCAGGUGCGUCUCUACAUUACGAGUAAUUUCCUCUACAAAAGUCAGCUAUGAAAGGCUAAAGACUGCUCUUGAAACCUCGAAUGUGGCAUGGGGAAAACGAGUAAAGAAGGCAAAACUGUUCCCAGGCGUGAAGAUCACCUCUCUUUGCAUCUUUAGUUUGCAAUUGUUUUCCAAGUGCUAAAGCAAUGAACACAUACAUGUAUUUUGCAAUUGAUUUAAACACAAACAUAUAAUAACCAUAUUUUUUUUGGCAAACCAAUGGAGUUCCUCAACUGUUUUUUUUUAUAAUUUGUUUGUCAAUUUCCUGCUUGUCAUCAGGGAGCCCUGCAGGCCUAAUGUAAUUUUUGGUUAUAUAAACCUUGACGAGGAUGUUCUGCAGAAAUACAAUUGCACUCAUUCAUAGUGAUCUAUAUAUAUCGAUAAUAUCUACCAUUACCAAGUCUAUCAUAUUUUUAUUUUUCCAUCUGGUGUCUUCCAUGUAUUUUUUGCAGUCUUUUUGAUGAAACGUAGUAUUACAAAUCAACAUAUCAUGUUUUGCAGCAAAUUGUAGUAAAUCUUCUCCCCUUUAAUUUCUUUCUCCAUACCCAUGCCGUUGCAUUAUACGCUCCCAUCCGGUGUUAUCCUGUCCAAUCUUCGCAUUUCAGUCUCCUACAAU